rfam:Stegodyphus mimosarum contig73627, whole genome shotgun sequence.
GCCUUCGUGGUGUAGUGGUCAGCACGCUCGGCGCGUAUUCGUGAGGCCCAUGGUUCGAGUCCCGGCGACGGCA